rnacentral:lncRNA from 1 species
CCAUGUGUGUUCUUGCUCAUAUUCACAAUUAUAAAGAGAUUUUCAGUUAAAAUAUCACACAGCUGUAAGAUAUCACAGGUUUGAAAGCAUUCCUUGAAUCUCUCUCUGCCCCCCCCCCAAAGUCAUAUAAUGAAAAAGAGUCAAAGAAACAUAUAAUAUUGUUGAAAUGUGCAGAACACUGUAGGGGCAAAAGAAGUGUGUGACUGAAUAGGCCCUGUCUCUGAUGUGGUUCUGAAGGAAUGAUCAUAGAAAUGACUCCAGCUCCAUUAAAACUGCAGGGAGUGUCAGCACUGAUUUCUAGUGGGGAGGGGAGGGGAGGGGAAUCCAAAGAACACCAAGCAUGUGUAGAAAGCAUGUGCAGGGGGGAGGCACAGAUUUUCCUUGUACAUAAAACCUCUGUGCAAUAAUCCAAAAGAGUCCAGGUAACCCUCCCUAGAGAUGUAAAGGAAUGCAGCAGAAAAGGGACCAGAAAAAGCGUAAUGCACUAAACACCACUCAUGGUUCUUUGAAUCCCAGCCAUGUGCUUCAGAGGGGUAUUCCACAAAACCAAUCCACUACAUUAAAGCUAAUGCAAAAUUCAAAAUCAAAAUUGUUAUCUUUCAAAUAAGAAAUACAGACUAGGAGAUUGUGGUUGUAAGUGAGUUGAGAGUAGCAACAAACACCAUUAGGUCUAAAGCCAUCCAAGCUAUGAACCUCAUAAAUAUAUGAUUCCAGAACAUAUUCAAAGUAUCCAGUGGAGUUGACUGAAUAUUCUGAUGAAGAUGAAAGCCAGACUCAAGAAAGUAUUUGGAGAUAAUUCAGUGAUUUAUUUAAGGGAGAUGGACAGCUAAGUGGAGCUUAUAAAACAGAGAUAGACACAAAGUGUGAAGCUGGUUAAAUUACCUAACAGGAAAGUACCAGUAGCUUUAUAACAGCCUCUGAAAGCAGUGUUUCAAAGUUUACAAAGGCAGGAAAUUUUACAACCAGUAGAAAAGAAUGGAAUAGAUAAAUAGUCUGGUGGUGAUCAGAAAACUAUUGGGGAAACUCAGAAAGUGCACAGAUUCAAAACUCUUAAAUAAAAUAGUGAAAAGAAGCCACUUUCCCUUACCUGCAACUAUAGAAUAUCUAUCAAAAGCAACAUUCUUCGCCAUCGGCAUAAAAAAUGGAUUCUGGAAUAUUAAGCAAGGUGAACAAUCCAUUUUCUUUUUUCGUUUUCAUUUUUACAUUUGCUACACUCUUUGGGAGAAACUGCUGACUAAAGAUGGCAAUAUUGGUCCUGGCUCUGAGAUAUUUCAAAAUAGUUUAAUACAAGGCUUGGAGGUCCUCAAAAACCACAGUUUCUCGCAAUGUCCAAAGGAGGGGAACGGUGGUUUGUUUAAACUAUGGUUCAUGAGAACAAGCCAGCUUCCAGCUGUUUCAGAUCCUCACUUGUUCUCAAACACAGUUCAAGCACAGUCCCCCAAGUUCAGAAAUGGCAUGCAAAAGAGGGGGUGAAAAGCAUGUAAGCCUUUGUCUUGCUACUGCUCUUUCUCAUAGUGGGAAAUCAGGGUUUCCCAUUAUGUCUGAACUGGAAGUAAGGCCUAUUGAUUUCAACUUCCACAUAAGGCUGCUCUGGACUGGAACCAUUCUCAAAAGUUACAGAAUAAUGCACACUGCCCUGACAACUGUCUUCCUAGGAGGAAGGAUGGCUUUGUCUUUUACUAGACUAGCUAUCCAGAGGUGUUUAAGGAUCAAGUUGUAUCUCUGAAAAUUCUGGACCCCGCACGCCAGCAAUAAAAGAAUGUACAGCAAAAUACAGCUCCAGCUGGGGAAUAAAAAACAGACAUACUUGAGGGCAUGAAAUCAAAUGUAUCACUGCCUUGCCAUGGAGAAGGGGCUUGAAUAACUCAGAAAAGCUAUGAGCUAUGCCGUGUAGGGCCACCCAAGAUGGACAGGUCAUAGUGGAGAGUUUUGACCAAACAUGAUCCACCUGGAGCAGGAACCGGCAAGUCACUCCAGUAUCCCUGCCAAGAAAACCCCAUGGACAAAGACAACAGGCAUAUAAAAGUUAUGAGGCAGUGGAAGACAGGAGUGCCUGGCGUGCUCUGGUCCACGGGGUCACGAAGAGUCGGACACAACUAAACGACUAAACAACAAACAAAUAAAUAUAUAUUUUUAGCAUAUUACAUAUUUCUAAAGGUAUAGGCAGAAACUUUUCAAGAGUGUUUAAUUUAUUUUCUUACAUUUAUCUCCUGCCAUGCCUCAACCAUGGAGCCCAAGAUGGCAUACAUGGGAUUCCCAGAUGGUCACUAUCCAAGCCCUGCCAAGAAACAGCCGUGCUUAGCUUCAACAAUAUGGUGGCCCUAUGUGCCUUUAGACCAUAUCUGUAUAAUCAUACUUCCAAUUUUAUGUUAUUGAUACAAAAAAAGGCAAGGAUAAACAAGAGCAAUUCUUAUCCAGGAGUACAACUCCAGAAGAACAUAAAUAUGAUCUGUUAUUACCAGUAAAAGGAUACCUUUCAGGGUAGAUAAAAUAAGCCACGUGUUCUAAGGUAACCCCCAUCUAACAAAAUUAUGACCUUGCUAUAUUUAUACACAUGGGUGCAGUUUUCAUGCACUAUUAUAGUCCCAUAUUAUAUAUCUUUAAAUCAUGCUGCGAAAGUUUCUGCCUUCCCCAAAUGCCUCCUCUAAUUUAGGAUGAACAACUGCUCUCAUAAAGAAAAACUGCUGCUGCUGCUGUUUAUUGGACUGAGAAAGGUCUCGCUGACUAAUGUCCCAGGAUUAAAUGAAUGUGGAAUAAUAAGAGCUGAUUUAUUUGUGCUCUGGUAGGAUAAAGCUGCCACUGAUUUUACAAGAAACUAUUCAUCUGAGGGCUACUAUAGCUAGUAAAUUGUGGCUGUUGCUGAAAAUAGUCUCUAGGCCUUCGUGUAAUCUAUGGGGUAGCUGUGUCAUAAUAAAGCCAUUGUGGGUGUUUGGUGUGUUUAAAAGGCCCCGCUUUUAUUCCUGCCCUGUGGAAUUCUAAAAAUUAACCUAAGGUUUCUCCUGGAAAUUCUGAUGGCUUCUGCUCUCAGCCUACAAUUUUACAUCAGGAAACAGAAAAACAAAAAAACAAAAAUAGCUGUUGAUAAAAUAGAGCUGAGGAUAUAUGAGGCCUAAGGCUUGUUUUUGUUUUGUUUUUAUUCUCCCUAGAGGAAAAAUGCCCAUCGCUCAGUGAUAUAGCACUGUGGAAUGCACCCAGAAGUCCCCAGGCCUCUCCAGUUGAAACAAUCUAAUAUUUACACUGGUAGCCAUAGGUAACAAGCAGUUCCAUGCAAGAAAGUGAGCACUGCAGGUUGGAGGAUGAUGGUGACAGAUGACAGAUGGAGCUCUCUGUCUCUCUUCUGCAUCCAGAAACUAUGAGGGCUUCCAGAGGCAGGAAGGCACUCAUCUGUGUUGAGCACUGAAAUUCAGCAGCUUUCCCGUUCUCUUCUGCCAGCCUCUAGCAGGCUAGUAACUUUUGUGAGCUUAUUUACAAGGCUAAGUUAAAGGUUCACAGGCAACGGGGCAUGGACAGCUGCUCACAGUAAGAGUAGACUUUGGGCUGGGUGUCCUAGAUGUGCCUUGGUUUAAUGACAAAGUCUUUGUAUAAUGCAGCUUCUUGUGGAUCUAGUACAGCACCACACACAGGAAUUCUAAAUCUUUAUUUAUUAAUGUCUUCAGUACUAUCAUAAAAAGGUAAAGGUAAAGGUACCCCUGACCAACUGGUCCAGUUGUGACCGACUCUGGGGUUGCGUGCUCAUCUCGCUCAAGAAGCCGGGAGCCGGCGCUUGUCUGAAGACAGCUUCCGGGUCACGUGGCCAGCAUGACUAAGCCACUUCUGGCGAGCCAGCACCAGCGCAGCACACGGAAACGCCGUUUACCUUCCUGCUGGAGAGCGGUCCCUAUUUAUCUACUCGCACUUUGAGUUGCUUUCGAACUGCUAGGUGGGCAGGAGCUGGGACCGAGCAACGGGAGCUCACCCCGUAGCGGGGAUUCGAGCCACCGACCUUUCGAUCAGCAAGUCCUAGGCUCUGUGGUUUAACCCACAGCGCCACCCGCGUCCCUCAGUACUAUCAUAGAUAACCCUAAACUUUUGGAAAGGCUUAGUCUAGGCUGGAGUGGGGUGUUGCUUGUUUGUUGUUGAAUUAGUCCAUCUUGCCAUAUGAACACAAGAAGAUGGUUUCAUGGGAACUGGGGUAACUCAGUUAU